UAUUGCACAAUGGGGGGAACCCUGAUGCAGCGACGCCGCGUGACGGAAGAAGGCUUUCGGGUUGUAAACUUCUUUUGUCGGGGACGAAACAAAUGACGGUACCCGACGAAUAAGCCACGGCUAACUACGUGCCAGCAGCCGCGGUAAUACGUAGGUGGCAAGCGUUAUCCGGAUUUACUGGGUGUAAAGGGCGUGUAGGCGGGAUUGCAAGUCAGAUGUGAAAACUGGGGGCUCAACCUCCAGCCUGCAUUUGAAACUGUAGUUCUUGAGUGCUGGAGAGGCAAUCGGAAUUCCGUGUGUAGCGGUGAAAUGCGUAGAUAUGCGGAGGAACACCAGUGGCGAAGGCGGACUGCUGGACAGUAACUGACGCUGAGGCGCGAAAGCGUGGGGAGCAAA
rnacentral:rRNA from 1 species